rnacentral:rRNA from 1 species
UACGUAGGUGGCGAGCGUUGUCCGGAUUUACUGGGCGUAAAGGGCGUGCAGGCGGUUUGUUAAGUGCAGGGUGAAAGCUCCCGGCUCAACUGGGAGAGGUCCUUGCAUACUGGCAGACUUGAGGGAGGCAGAGGAAAGUGGAAUUCCCGGUGUAGUGGUGAUAUGCGUAGAUAUCGGGAGGAACACCUGUGGCGAAGGCGGCUUUCUGGGCCUUACCUGACGCUGAGACGCGAAAGCGUGGGGAGCGAACCGG